UACAGAGGUCUCAAGCGUUGUUCGGAUUCAUUGGGCGUAAAGGGUGCGUAGGCGGCGCGGUAAGUCGGGUGUGAAAUUUCGAGGCUUAACUUCGAAACUGCAUUCGAUACUGCCGUGCUUGAGGACUGGAGAGGAGACUGGAAUUUACGGUGUAGCGGUGAAAUGCGUAGAUAUCGCAAGGAAGACCAGUGGCGAAGGCGGGUCUCUGGACAGUUCCUGACGCUGAGGCACGAAGGCCAGGGGAGCAAACGGG
rnacentral:rRNA from 1 species